CACCGCAUCGCAUGGCUUCCUAGGGAAUUCGUACUUUAUUCCUGGUCUCUGAAUCCUUCCACUUGGCCACUCAAGAGCUCUGACUCAUCCCUGAGCUUUACUCCUAGGUCCCAUCUGGCCCUUCAAAAGCCUCUGCCUGACAGCACUGCCUAAGUUAAAGAAAGUUCUGGAACUUUAGAAUGACCCGACUUUGAGAGCAAGGCCUUGGUGCCAGUACUUAGUCCUACGCUCUUAGUUGAAUUCAGUCAGGGCUGUAGUUUAUCCUCAUUGGGCUCUAGAGAAAAUGGUGCCACCAAGACAUAUUUCUCACAACCAGGUUGUCACUUCUUGACAUUGGGUAGCGCCAUUCAUGGACCACGGAGCUGGGUUUAUUUUCUUAAGCCACUUUCUGUUUCUCCCUUGGGAUCCACCUUGUGAGCUUGGAGCCAAAGAAACCAUUUCUUCAUGUAGUAGAUGUGAUUAAUUGAUUUCAGGUUUAUUCUCAGAUGUUCCAAGAUCCUGGUCUAGUUUGAUUACCCUUCUAAGAGUAUUCAAAUUAUCUUCAUGGGUGGUACAAAAGUCACACAAACAAACAAAAACCAAAAUAAGUAUCAUCUAUCACCAGAAAAUAAUAUCAUGUAUCCUAUGACCCCUGGAAUCGGCUCUUCUCAAGGUGGCAUAUCCAAAGUGGACAAUCUUAGUUGAUUCAUUAGUGAUUGACAGUUAGUUGACAAUUAGUGAUUAACACUAAAUCCUAAAGGUUGGCUAUCCCUGUCCUAAAAAACAAUUGGUAAUAAAAAUGAGUAUUUGUUCAGCAUGAAUAUCCUAAGAAUCUAAAGUACCAAGAAAGGUGGCAUAAAAGGGAGGGAGGAUCCUGGAGGAAAUGAAAUGGAAGAGAGCCAGAGUCAUCGCACAGAAAAGGCCUGGGAUAGAUGAGCAAUGAUGGAUCUAGACAGCAGAUACCACUCCGAGGAGAUACCAGCCUCAACUCACUUUUAUUCUGGGGUAGGCAGUAAAGUCAGUGUAGCCAGAAUAAUGCCUCACCCCUCAAAGACUUCCACAUCCUAAUCCCUGGAAUCCCCAGAACUUGUGAGUAUGUGACCUUACAUAGCAAAAGAGACUCUGUAGCUGUGAUUAAGCUAGGGAUGCUGAGAUGAGGGGAUUAUGCUGGAUUACCCAGGAGGGUCCAAUGUCAUCACAAGGAUCUUCAUAAGAAAGAAGCAGGAGAACCAGAGACAGAGGAGAUGUGAAGGCAAACAGAGAUUAGAGCAACACAACUACUGGCUUUGAAGAAUGGAAGGGGGCCAUGAGCCAAGGCAUGUGAGCAGCCUCUAGGAGAAAAAAAAAAAAGCAAGGAAACUGAUUCUCCUCUAAAGUGUCCAGAAGAGAUGCAACCCUGCCAAGACCUUGAUUUUAGAACUUCUUAUCUCCAGAAUUGUAAAAUAGUAAAUAUGCGUUGUUUCAAGCCA